UACGUAGGCAGCAAGCGUUGUUCGGAGUUACUGGGCGUAAAGCGAGUGUAGGCGGUCUGAAAAGUCAGGUGUGAAAGCCCCGGGCUCAACCCGGGAAGUGCACUUGAAACUGCCAGGCUAGAGUAUCGGAGAGGUUGGUGGAAUUCUCGGUGUAGAGGUGAAAUUCGUAGAUAUCGAGAGGAACACCGGCGGCGAAGGCGGCCAACUGGACGAAUACUGACGCUGAGACUCGAAAGCGUGGGGAGCAAACAGG
rnacentral:rRNA from 1 species